AGACAACUGUAUGGAGGAGAUUCAGAAGUGUUCAGGCCCUGAAACGACUUUUACCAUCAUUGUGGACACAAACCUGUCAGAACAUCAAGGAGGAUCCACAGGAUUGCAGGAUUUCCCAGUGUGAUUGGCUGCAUAGAUGCACACACAUCCCCAUCACAGCUCCCUCACAUCAUGAACAGGAAGUCCAUUCACAGCAUAAAUGUGCAGGUAGGCUACAGGUAGACUGACUACUGUUUCUAAAUGUUAAAGACUGCAUCAUAGUUCAACAUCUGUCAUUCUCUGCACUGUCCAGAUCAGAUGUGAUGCUGCAUGCAUCAUUUCUAAUGUGGAGGCCACGUGGUCUGGGUCUGUUCAUGACUCCAGGAUUUAUGGAGAGUCUAACCUGAGCAACAGACUGCAGCGUGGUCAGCAGCAUAAAGAUUUUCACAAUAGAAUUCUCUUGUCUCCCUCCUUUAAUAUGCUCUGAUGUAUCCACUAUACAUUACAGGAGAGUUUGAUGGCCUUCUGCUGGGUGACAGGGGUUACCAUGACAACCCAGGCUGAUGACCUCAUACCCUGACCCUGAACCAGGCCCCCAACAGAACUUCAACCGGACUCACUGCAGGACCAGAGCCCGGGUGGAGAUGACCAUAGGCCUGCUGAAAGCCCGUUUCCAGAGCCUACGUCUCCUCAGGGUGACCCCUGAGAGGGCCUGUGAUAUUACUGUGGCAUGUGUUGUUCUUCAUAAUAUUACCACUAUUAGAGGAGAGCAACACCCUGCCCUACAAACUGAAGACCCAGAUGAUGAGCCCAUCCACCUGCAGCUAUCCAGGACAGCAGAGCAGUCAGAGACACCGUAUGCAAUAAUCACUUUAGAGUUUAAGUCUCCAUCAUCACCACCACAGCAAAUAAAGACAUGAUACACAUUU